rnacentral:rRNA from 1 species
AUUGAACGCUGGCGGCAGGCCUAACACAUGCAAGUCGAGCGGAUGACGGGAGCUUGCUCCUUGAUUCAGCGGCGGACGGGUGAGUAAUGCCUAGGAAUCUGCCUGGUAGUGGGGGACAACGUUUCGAAAGGAACGCUAAUACCGCAUACGUCCUACGGGAGAAAGCAGGGGUCCUUCGGGCCUUGCGCUAUCAGAUGAGCCUAGGUCGGAUUAGCUUGUUGGUGAGGUAAUGGCUCACCAAGGCGACGAUCCGUAACUGGUCUGAGAGGAUGAUCAGUCACACUGGAACUGAGACACGGUCCAGACUCCUACGGGAGGCAGCAGUGGGGAAUAUUGGACAAUGGGCGAAAGCCUGAUCCAGCCAUGCCGCGUGUGUGAAGAAGGUCUUCGGAUUGUAAAGCACUUUAAGUUGGGAGGAAGGGUUGUAGAUUAAUACUCUGCAAUCUUGACGUUACCGACAGAAUAAGCACCGGCUAACUCUGUGCCAGCAGCCGCCGCCGUA